rnacentral:lncRNA from 1 species
AAAAUAAAAUCUAAAUUUUAAAUUGAAAUAAUCAAAACUAAUUAGUUCCAAAACAAACCAAAUAUUCCAAAUCCAAGAUUGUUAAACGAGAUAAAACCAAAUCGGAACAAAGAAUAUUACACGGUCAAACUUUUUGAAAGAGAGAUCAACACAUGAAAGCAAAUUCAUAAGAAACAUAACAAAACCAAAAAGCAAUUAANN